rnacentral:rRNA from 1 species
UCCUACGGGGCGCAGCAGUAGGGAAUUUUCGUCAAUGGGCGCAAGCCUGAACGAGCAAUGCCGCGUGAACGAGGAAGGUCUUCGGAUCGUAAAGUUCUGUUGAAGGGGAAAAAGAGCGGAGAGAGGAAAUGGUCUCCGAUUGAUAUUAUCCUUCGAGGAAGUCACGGCUAACUACGUGCCAGCAGCCGCGGUAAUACGUAGGUGGCGAGCGUUAUCCGGAAUGAUUGGGCGUAAAGGGUGCGUAAGCGGCCUGCUAAGUCUGGAGUGAAAGGUACCGGCUCAACCGGUACAGGCUCUGGAAACUG